CCUACGGGUGGCAGCAGUGGGGAAUAUUGGACAAUGGGGGGAACCCUGAUCCAGCCAUGCCGCGUGUGUGAAGAAGGCCCUCGGGUUGUAAAGCACUUUCAGUGAGGAAGAACGCCUGGUGGUUAAUACCCAUCAGGAAAGACGUCACUCACAGAAGAAGCACCGGCUAACUCCGUGCCAGCAGCCGCGGUAAUACGGAGGGUGCGAGCGUUAAUCGGAAUUACUGGGCGUAAAGCGCGCGUAGGUGGCUUGAUAAGCCGGUUGUGAAAGCCCCGGGCUCAACCUGGGAACGGCAUCCGGAACUGUCAAGCUAGAGUGCAGGAGAGGAAGGUAGAAUUCCCGGUGUAGCGGUGAAAUGCGUAGAGAUCGGGAGGAAUACCAGUGGCGAAGGCGGCCUUCUGGACUGACACUGACACUGAGGUGCGAAAGCGUGGGUAGCAAACAGGAUUAGAUACCCUUGUAGUC
rnacentral:rRNA from 1 species